UCAAACGCCGCAUUAGGCUGAAAGUUUACUUUCACUUCCUGAACUUCGUGGAGUGGAGCUUGUUGUUGGUGUGUGAAGAAACUACUGACUGAAGAUGAUGAUGGAGGAAGAGGAGGACAGAGCAGAGUCUGCAGGGUCCAGCUGUCCGUCUGUGAGGAGUGACCGGUCCAAAGAGAUAAAUCCAGAUUUCAGUGCUGAACCUGGACCAACGAGAGGUCAGAGGUCACAGUCUGCAGGGUCCAGCUGUCCGUCUGUGAGGAGUGACCGGUCCAAAGGUGAA